rnacentral:rRNA from 1 species
AUUGAACGCUGGCGGCAGGCCUAACACAUGCAAGUCGAACGAGUGGCGGACGGGUGAGUAAUGUCUGGGAAAAUGCCUGAUGGAGGGGGAUAACUACUGGACACGGUAGCUAAUAACGCAUACCAGCGGAUGUGCCCAGAUGGGAUUAGCUAGUGGGUGGGGUAAAGGCUCACAUAGGCGACGAUCCCUAGCUGGUCUGAGAGGAUGACCAGCCACACUGGAACUGAGACACGGUCCAGACUCCUACGGGAGGCAGCAGUGGGGAAUAUUGCACAAUGGGCGCAAGCCUGAUGCAGCCAUGCCGCGUGUAUGAAGAAGGCCUUCGGGUUGUAAAGUACUUUCAGCGGGGAGGCGUUACCCGCAGAAGAAGCACCGGCUAACUCCGUGCCAGCAGCCGCGGUAAUUC